AGCAGCCGCGGUAAUUCCAGCUCCAAUAGCGUAUAUUAAAGUUGUUGCAGUUAAAAAGCUCGUAGUUGAAUUUCGGGGUUAGUAGGUUGGUCAUGCCUCUGGUAUGUACUGGUCUCACUGAUUCCUCCUUCCUGAUGAGCCUUAAUGCCAUUAAUUUGGUGUUUUGGGGAAUUUGGACUGUUACUUUGAAAAAUUAGAGUGUUUAAAGCAAGCUAACGCUUGAAUACAUUAGCAUGGAAUAAUGAAAUAGGACGUUCGAUCCUAUUUUGUUGGCUUCUAGGAUUGACGUAAUGAUUAAUAGGGAUAGUUGGGGGCAUUAGUAUUCAAUUGUCAGAGGUGAAAUUCUUGGAUUUAUUGAAGACUAACUACUGCGAAAGCAUUUGCCAAGGAUGUUUUCAUUAAUACAAGAACGAAAGUUAGGGGAUCGAAGACGAUCAGAUACCGUCGUAGUCUUAACCAUAAAC
rnacentral:rRNA from 1 species